rnacentral:rRNA from 1 species
CAGUCGCCGCGGGAAUACGUAGGGUGCAAGCGUUAAUCGGAAUUACUGGGCGUAAAGCGUGCGCAGGCGGUUCGUUAAGACAGAUGUGAAAUCCCCGGGCUUAACCUGGGAACUGCAUUUGUGACUGGCGGGCUAGAGUAUGGCAGAGGGGGGUAGAAUUCCACGUGUAGCAGUGAAAUGCGUAGAGAUGUGGAGGAAUACCGAUGGCGAAGGCAGCCCCCUGGGCCAAUACUGACGCUCAUGCACGAAAGCGUGGGGAGCAAACAGGAUUAGAUACCCCAGUAGUCCCUGUCUCUUAUAC